CCUACGGGGGGCUGCAGUGGGGAAUAUUGGACAAUGGGCGAAAGCCUGAUCCAGCCAUGCCGCGUGUGUGAAGAAGGCCUUCGGGUUGUAAAGCACUUUCAGUGGGGAAGAAAGCCUUGGGGCUAAUACCCUCGAGGAAGGACAUCACCCACAGAAGAAGCACCGACUAACUCCGUGCCAGCAGCCGCGGUAAUACGGAGGGUGCGAGCGUUAAUCGGAAUUACUGGGCGUAAAGCGCGCGUAGGCGGUCUGAUAAGCCGGUUGUGAAAGCCCCGGGCUCAACCUGGGAACGGCAUCCGGAACUGUCAGGCUAGAGUGCAGGAGAGGAAGGUAGAAUUCCCGGUGUAGCAGUGAAAUGCGUAGAGAUCGGGAGGAAUACCAGUGGCGAAGGCGGCCUUCUGGACUGACACUGACGCUGAGGUGCGAAAGCGUGGGUAGCAAACAGGAUUAGAUACCCUUGUAGUC
rnacentral:rRNA from 1 species